AGUUUAACCUUCGGGAGGACGCUUGCCACUUUGUGGUUCAUGACUGGGGUGAAGUCGUAACAAGGUAGCGCUAGGGGAACCUGGCGCUGGAUCACCUCCUUAUACGAUGAU
rnacentral:rRNA from 1 species